GUGCUCACUUCAGCAGCACAUAUACUAAAACUGGAACAAUACAGGGAAGAUUAGCACGGCCUCUGCACAAGGAUGACACGCAAAUUCAUGAAACGUUCCAUAUUUUU
ensembl:snRNA U6 U6 spliceosomal RNA